rnacentral:tRNA from 1 species
GGGCCCGUAGUCUAGUGGCUAUGACGUUGCCUCGACAUGGCAAAGGUCAAGGGUUCAAGUCCCUUCGGGCCCACCA